ACCUGCCGCACAAAAACCUUGUUCUUUCCAUUCUGGAUUAUUCCCUUAUCCCGACAACUCGUGUUGGAGGCAAGUCACCUGUAUGUGUGGGCCGAAGCACCCUGUCGAUUUUCUGGGUCGGGACUCAGAACGAUUCGGUUUCCCCCGUCAGUUUUGAAUAAUCUGUGUGGAAAGUAAUCGAAGUUUUAUAUCUGUUGUGCCGCGAUGCUUAAUUUGGGGAACAGACUGGUAUACCUGCUCGAUGUGGCGCUAGUGUGGCUGGUACAGGUACAGUCGCGGCACCUCGUCAAGAGAUGUGAGUCAGAUAUCGACAUCACCAGCUACAAGGGCUGUGUUAAGACCGAGGCCCUGGAGGAAGCAGGUGCAGUUCGAUGCGUUAGACGGAGAGUUCACAGACGGAUCCAAAUUACAGGUAGAAUUCAAGACUUCCCACACUUCCGGUCUGAUUUUUUACGCCUCCAGGCGCCAUGACGACGAGUCGAUAAUAGCCCAUCCAUAUCAACCGUGGUUAUCUGCGCUACACCUUCCGCUGUCGCUACGGGUCGGCAGAACUGACGUAUAGCAAGAAGAAAGUCAACGAUAACAAAUGGCAUAAGUUGGUAUUUAGAUUAGAAGCCCGGACCGGUAUUGUCUACAUAGAUAACAGAAGGGCGUUUAGGGACUACUAUUUAAGCUGUCCAGGUUUUACAACAAUAGUAUUUGGAGGCGUAAAACCCAGCCAUUUCGGAUCAAGCAGCGUCAGAUCAUUACGGAGAGCCCAGCUUGAUGGCAGUUUAAGGCGGACAGAGAUCUCAACGGGUUGGACAUCAGGCCCUCGCUAUUUCGCUGUGUCAUCGUGUAGGCGCGAGUGAUCUUUCAUCAGACUCCAUGGAAGAGUUGUUAUACAGUAGUAUGAGUCACGGGAAGACUUGCACCAGAUCACUCCACCGGUGCAUGCUGGUCAUACAUGUUCCAGCCCCCGCGCAUUUCGAUUAUCCGAUCUUUUCAUUGGAGGAAACCGGAUGGACAACAAAAUUCUGGACUUAUUUCCAGAAUGUUUUGGAGGAUGAAGAAAGAAAACCUUAUUUGAUCUGAUUUUUUUUUUUGACAUUUGGGUUAGAUACUGUGCUGAACGCUUCCACGGAAAACCAAGGUUGCGUUCACAAGUGAGUGGAUUUGACCAAAAAAGAUCCAAUGAAACGACCUUUUUCAGAAAUCGCCAUGGUGACGCUGGUUUUGUGCAUGGGUUUUAAGACGAUUUAAGGCCAUGUCGCAGCCCUAUAGUUUAUAUGUACAUACAGAGAUCAUAUAUCUUGUUACGUUGUUUUCAUGUACUGUAAAUAUAAUGUACAGAUAAUGAUAUUUAUAUAGUGGACUUUACAUAAUAUAUCAAUUUGCUGACCGCUCGUGUUAUGCUGACAUUGAUUAUUUUAUUCUAUUCUCGGAUAUUUAAAAAGCUUAUUUCCUCUCGCAUAGCAGUUCUGUUCCAGCGACCCCUUGCCUCUCUCUAAGUGAUUAAUGUUAGGUUUAUGCCUUGCCUGGAGCUCAUAAACAAAUACAAAUUUUUCCUGGAUUUCAAGGCCUAUAAAUAGAAGUAUCAAUGGGCGUGGCUCAUUUGGACAGGCGUGGACAUUAAUGGGCGUGGGUCAUUUGGACAGGCGUGGACAUUAAAUUUCAUUCUUGCAUGCAUGCACUUUUAAUUAUUUUAUAGAAAGGGGCCUCAUCUUCUGUGCUCUUUCCCUUGACGUCAUUCACAGUGGGUAGAUUUGCCAUGAAAACACGUUUCCGAUGUUUUAAAUAAAGUAUGAAUAUUUGUGAGUAUGGCGUGAAACACCAACCAAACAAAUAAAUGAAUAGAUGAAGUAUGCAUCAUCUGAAAGACCAUUUCAUGCAGAUUCCAAAUAUGGAAAUCAAAUCAGGAUUCUUUUUUCUUUUAGAGAAUUUUAACACCAUGGUUUUACAGUGGACGUUUUCAGCCAGGCUGAAUAUGCUAAACGUCUGUUUCCACAUUCAAUACAGGUAGUACUACAGAUAGUACUACAGGUAUAUUCAUGUUAAAUGUUGAAAUAUAACAAGCAGAAGAUGUUUAACAACUAGAGAAAUCGGAGGCGUCAUUAUGUUUCGGUCUGUUCAAUAUGGUUCAAACCAUAUAUGGGAGGAUUGAGAAAGCGGUCUGCGUUACUUGGUUACUGUUUCAUAAAGGAGAAGAAAACAUGAAAAUGAUGCCAAAAUCAGAUGAAAAAACGUGAAAACUUAUUUGCAAGCAUGGUCUUUAAUAGUUUCUUCAGUUUUAUUUCAGAAUAAGGGUAUUUGAAACUGUUCUUGCAUGGUGGGUAUUUUAUACCACCUCUUGUAAUACAUCGUCUUUGCAUAAUAAUGUUCUAAACAAGGACAUGGUGUAUGUCUAAUAAAUUUAUUUGAAUGUAAUUUUGUUGUUUAUAUCCAAACACAUACAUUUAUCGGAAUUGUAGUAAUAUUCGUGCAUAUAUUAAAAAUAUAGAUAUCAUCAAAAUCCAGGUUGAACACAUUUGUUAGGUGAAAAGACCAAAUUCUAAGGCAAAUAUAUUUUAAUUUUAUUAAACAUGUCUUACAUCCUUAUUUAUAACACAAAGUCAAUAUAUACCAAGAGGCGGUCCCAAACACCGACCACACGUAAAUUGUUUUCAAGUGUGUUUUUCUCUUUAAAGAAAAAUAGACACAAAUAUUGAAGACCUCGUUUCCAGUUAACUUUUCGCACUUUUUUAUCUGGACUUAAUGUACUUUAUUUUUAUGUUUUCUCCAUACACCUUUUUAAAUUAUUGGACUUGACGCAAUUUCCGGUACAUGGGGACGUAACACCGCGUCUUCCGGUGUCUCCCGCACAUUGCUGUUCAGUUUACGUGUGAUCUCAUCUCGCCCCUCUCCAUAGUUUGGGCGAUUCUGUUCACUCUUAAAGGAAGAUAUCUCAUUUGGAUAAAGUGCGUAUCAUCCGAAAGAUCAUUUAGUGCAGAUUCCAGAAAUUGUUUUCAAUAGUUUGUUACAUUUUUUACAGCGAAUAAAAUGCAAAAAACAUUGAUGCUCUACGGUUGGCUUUUGAAGCCAUAUUGACCUGCUGAACAGUGCUAAGCAAGCCAUAAUCAGAUGUAGUACUACAAGAAUAUUCAUGAAGAAGGUAGUAAUAUGGUAAUACAGAUGUAAUGCUUCAUGCAAUUCAUGUAGAAGGUAGAAAUAUGACAGUCGUAGUAUUUUUAUUAGCUAAAAAUAAUUGGUGCCCUCUCUGUACAUUAGCUUUUUUCAAUACCGUAUGGCCCAAAAAGUCCACCGCAGAACCUCAAUUUUUACUUGCAUUUUAUCCACCUUAAAAAUGUGAAGAAAAAAAAAGAAACUAAAACUUAAUGAUGAUCAUAUUUGGUUUUUUUAGGAGAUGUGUUCUGUUCUUUUAAGGCCCGACAUCUGAUACCAUGUGGAUACAUUCACUAUCCACGAACCAGUUCGCAGAUAUUCCGCAAUUUCACCUCACAGUUUUCUUAAUUUAUUUCGUCACAAAAUGUUCAUGAUUAGCUAGGAUAAAUCCCUGGCAAUGCCAAUUACGUGACAGGAAUUGUCAUUUGACGUUACUUACACCUAACGGCGCGUGACAAAACAAUGUUUGUCGCACUGACGUCAAUAUUAACUUCAUUUUAUCAAUCUCUUUCCUUUUCAUUUUCUUUCUUUUUUUCUUUUAACUUUAUCGUUUAUGUGACAAGCCAUGAAUUCGCUUCAUUCACAUUCCAGUUGAGCUUAAAAUGGUCGCACGUUGAGAAUCUAAUCUGUUAGAGACAUAAGAUCAGCUGGAGUAAGUAAGGAGGUGCAAUUGUUCCUAUCAACAAUCAACACAUACAAAAGUCAGUCGCUCGAGACACUAAAACUGGUAUGCGUGCAAAUGUGUUAACCAGCCUCUGCUGGUUAUAACAGGAGUCAAUUUGUGUCAUUUUAUAAUGUUAAUGAAAAGAAGAAAAGAAAAAAAAAGAAUGAAAGACAGCAAAAAUCCAAAAAAGAAAAUAAGAAGAAAAAAAAUCAGACACGUGUUUUGAUGAUGUGUUUACAAAGGGAAACAUGCACUGUGCAAGUUUAGGUUUAUGUAUGUACAUGUAUAUAUAUGUAUCUGUAUAUACAUGCUGCCUAUCUGUUUUUGUCGUCCUUUGUUCAUAUGAUCCGCUCGAAGGUCUUUACCUUGUUUUUGUUUACAGAGAUUAAAAUCUUU